AACGAACGCUGGCGGCGUGGAUAAGACAUGCAAGUCGAACGGGAUUACUUCUGUAGCAAUACAGGAGUGAUUCAGUGGCGAACGGGUGCGUAACACGUGGGCAAUCUGCCGAGAAGUGGGGGAUAGCUCGCCGAAAGGCGAAUUAAUACCGCAUAUGAUCAGCUAAGACAUCUUAGCGACAUCAAAGCCGGGGCAACCUGGCGCUUCUUGAUGAGCCCGCGGCCUAUCAGCUAGUUGGUGAGGUAACGGCUCACCAAGGCUAUGACGGGUAGCUGGUCUGAGNGGAUGAUCAGCCACACUGGGACUGAGACACGGGCCAGACUCCUACGGGAGCAGCAGUA
rnacentral:rRNA from 1 species